ACGCUGGCGGCAGGCCUAACACAUGCAAGUCGAGCGGAUGACGGGAGCUUGCUCCCUGAUUUAGCGGCGGACGGGUGAGUAAUGCCUAGGAAUCUGCCUGGUAGUGGGGGAUAACGUUCCGAAAGGAACGCUAAUACCGCAUACGUCCUACGGGAGAAAGCAGGGGACCUUCGGGCCUUGCGCUAUCAGAUGAGCCUAGGUCGGAUUAGCUAGUUGGUGAGGUAAUGGCUCACCAAGGCGACGAUCCGUAACUGGUCUGAGAGGAUGAUCAGUCACACUGGAACUGAGACACGGUCCAGACUCCUACGGGAGGCAGCAGUGGGGAAUAUUGGACAAUGGGCGAAAGCCUGAUCCAGCCAUGCCGCGUGUGUGAAGAAGGUCUUCGGAUUGUAAAGCACUUUAAGUUGGGAGGAAGGGCAGUAAGUUAAUACCUUGCUGUUUUGACGUUACCGACAGAAUAAGCACCGGCUAACUUCGUGCCAGCAGCCGCGGUAAUACGAAGGGUGCAAGCGUUAAUCGGAAUUACUGGGCGUAAAGCGCGCGUAGGUGGUUCGUUAAGUUGGAUGUGAAAGCCCCGGGCUCAACCUGGGAACUGCAUCCAAAACUGGCGAGCUAGAGUACGGUAGAGGGUGGUGGAAUUUCCUG
rnacentral:rRNA from 1 species